rnacentral:rRNA from 1 species
AACCCGGUGAUCUAGCCAUGGGCAGGUUGAAGGUUGGGUAACACUAACUGGAGGACCGAACCGACUAAUGUUGAAAAAUUAGCGGAUGACUUGUGGCUGGGGGUGAAAGGCCAAUCAAACCGGGAGAUAGCUGGUUCUCCCCGAAAGCUAUUUAGGUAGCGCCUCGUGAAUUCAUCUCCGGGGGUAGAGCACUGUUUCGGCAAGGGGGUCAUCCCGACUUACCAACCCGAUGCAAACUGCGAAUACCGGAGAAUGUUAUCACGGGAGACACACGGCGGGUGCUAACGUCCGUCGUGAAGAGGGAAACAACCCAGACCGCCAGCUAAGGUCCCAAAGUCAUGGUUAAGUGGGAAACGAUGUGGGAAGGCCCAGACAGCCAGGAUGUUGGCUUAGAAGCAGCCAUCAUUUAAAGAAAGCGUAAUAGCUCACUGGUCGAGUCGGCCUGCGCGGAAGAUGUAACGGGGCUAAACCAUG